GACGAACGCUGGCGGCGUGCUUAACACAUGCAAGUCGAGCGACGCUCUUCCUUCGGGGAGCUGACGGAGCGGCGAACGGGUGAGUAACACGUGGGCAACCUGCCCCUAGCUCUGGGACAACACCGGGAAACCGGUGCUAAUACCGGAUACGACAUCGAGCGGCAUCUCUCGAUGUGGAAAGUUUUUUCGGCUAGGGAUGGGCCCGCGGCCUAUCAGCUUGUUGGUGGGGUAAUGGCCCACCAAGGCGACGACGGGUAGCCGGCCUGAGAGGGCGACCGGCCACACGGGGACUGGGACACGGCCCAGACUCCUACGGGAGGCAGCAGUGGGGAAUAUUGCGCAAUGGGCGAAAGCCUGACGCAGCGACGCCGCGUGAGGGAUGACGGCCUUCGGGGUGUAAACCUCUUUCAGCAGGGACGAAUUCAGACGGUACCUGCAGAAGAAGCACCGGCCAACUACGUG
rnacentral:rRNA from 1 species